rnacentral:tRNA from 1 species
AAGAGUGUAGUUUAAUGGUAAAACUUUAGGCUUCAAUCCUAGCAUUAAGGGUUCGAGUCCUUUCAUUCUUG